rnacentral:rRNA from 1 species
AUUGAACGCUGGCGGCAGGCCUAACAAAUGCAAGUCGAACGAGUGGCGGACGGGUGAGGAAUGUCUGGGAAACUGCCUGAUGGAGGGGGAUAACUAAUGGAAACGGUAGCUAAUACCGCAUACCAUCAGAUGUGCCCAGAUGGAAUUAGCUAGUGGGUGGGGUAAUGGCUCACCUAGGCGACGAUCCCUCGCUGGUCAGAGAGGAUGACCAGACAAACUGGAACUUGGACACGGUCAAGACUCUGACGGGAGGGAGCAGUGGGGAAUAUUGCACAAUGGGCGCAAGCCUGAUGCAGCCAUGCCGCGUGUGUGAAGAAGGCCUUCGGGUUGUAAAGCACUUUCAGCGUGGAGGCGUUACUCGCAGAAGAAGCACCGGCUAACUCCGUGCCAGCAGCCGCGGUAAUAC